GAAAGAAAAAAAAUCACAAUUCUUCAGAUUCUCAAAUUUUCUCGCUCUUUCUUUUAGCAUUCUCUCGAUCCAUCGUAGAUUUGUGUAGAAGAUUAGGUUGAACAUAACUCGAGGUUGCUUGAUUUGGCGUGAAUCUUUCGCGAUUUGGGUUUUGAAGAAGCAUGUCUCCGCCAUUGAAAUUGUACUUGGAAUAUGCUUGAUUUGGCAUGAAUCUGCUACCAUCAUCCUCUGGGUUUUAAUGAUAAUUUUGGGUUUCGAAGAAGCUUGUAUCCGCUUGAAACAUGUCAUCGAGCGCAAGUGCUGGGAUAGGUGGUACUAUGCUAAUGGCUCGUCUUGCUACCGGAGUUGCUAAACCAUCCGGCCAACUUUACAUCUCUGCUGAGAAGGUAGAGGAGUUCUUGGAUCAGCUUCCAGUUGGGACACUACCCGGUGUAGGUUCUGUGUUGAAGGAGAAGCUGGUGAAGCAAAAUAUUCAAACCUGUGGGCAGUUACGUUUGAUUUCCAAGGAUUCUCUUCAAAAGGAUUUUGGGGUGAAAACUGGCGAGAUGCUUUGGAGUUAUAGCAGAGGACUAGACCUACGGUCAGUUACAGCGGUGCAGAUAUAUUGGAUGGAUAGUGCAUGCAUGUUGGGAGGGAAUGACCAACAGUUUAAGAAGUCUAUAAGACAGAGACUGGAUAAAGGGGAAAAAGGAAUAAAAAGAGUUCACAAUAUGACUCUCCCCGACUUAAGACAUUGAAAGAAGUCACAUACUUUGGGUUGGAUGGUAAAAACGACCAACCCUUUGUUUGAUGGGGGAAUGAUCAACGGCUUAAGAAGUCUAUAAGACAGAGACUGUAUAAAGGGGAAAAAGAAAAGGACUACCCCUGACUUAAGACAUAGAAAGAAGUCACAGGCUUUGGGUUGGAUGGUAUAACCGACCAACCUUUUGUUUGAUGGAAUCAGACCACCGGCUUAAAGAACUCUAUAAGACAGAGACUGUAUAAAGGGGAAAAAGAAAAGGACUACCCCUGACUUAAGACAUAGAAAGAAGUCACAGGCUUUGGGUUGGAUGGUAUAACCGACCAACCUUUUGUUUGAUGGAAUCAGACCACCGGCUUAAAGAACUCUAUAAGACAGAGACUGUAUAAAGGGGAAAAAGAAAAGGACUACCCCUGACUUAAGACAUAGAAAGAAGUCACAGGCUUUGGGUUGGAUGGUAUAACCGACCAACCUUUUGUUUGAUGGAAUCAGACCACCGGCUUAAAGAACUCUAUAAGACAGAGACUGUAUAAAGGGGAAAAAGAAAAGGACUACCCCUGACUUAAGACAUAGAAAGAAGUCACAGGCUUUGGGUUGGAUGGUAUAACCGACCAACCUUUUGUUUGAUGGAAUCAGACCACCGGCUUAAAGAACUCUAUAAGACAGAGACUGUAUAAAGGGGAAAAAGAAAAGGACUACCCCUGACUUAAGACAUAGAAAGAAGUCACAGGCUUUGGGUUGGAUGGUAUAACCGACCAACCUUUUGUUUGAUGGAAUCAGACCACCGGCUUAAAGAACUCUAUAAGACAGAGACUGUAUAAAGGGGAAAAAGAAAAGGACUACCCCUGACUUAAGACAUAGAAAGAAGUCACAGGCUUUGGGUUGGAUGGUAUAACCGACCAACCUUUUGUUUGAUGGAAUCAGACCACCGGCUUAAAGAACUCUAUAAGACAGAGACUGUAUAAAGGGGAAAAAGAAAAGGACUACCCCUGACUUAAGACAUAGAAAGAAGUCACAGGCUUUGGGUUGGAUGGUAUAACCGACCAACCUUUUGUUUGAUGGAAUCAGACCACCGGCUUAAAGAACUCUAUAAGACAGAGACUGUAUAAAGGGGAAAAAGAAAAGGACUACCCCUGACUUAAGACAUAGAAAGAAGUCACAGGCUUUGGGUUGGAUGGUAUAACCGACCAACCUUUUGUUUGAUGGAAUCAGACCACCGGCUUAAAGAACUCUAUAAGACAGAGACUGUAUAAAGGGGAAAAAGAAAAGGACUACCCCUGACUUAAGACAUCGAAAGAAGUCACAGACUUUGGGUUGGGUGGUAUAAACGACCAACCUUUUGUUUGAUGGAGGAAUGACCAACGGCUUAAGAAGUCUGAUGACAAAGACUGGAUAAAGGGGAAAAAAGAAGAGAAAGAGUUCACAAUUUAACUACCCCUGACUUAAGACAUAGAACGAAGUCAAAGACUUUGGGUUGGAUGGUUAAAACGACCAACACCGUAAGAGAAAGAAGCUGCGAUAAAGGCUGAACCUAAAACUAAAAGACCAACGGCUUAAAGAAGUUAAAAAGGGUUACCAACGGCUUAAAGAAGUUAAAAGACUAAGGAGCAGUUACCAACGGCUUAAAGAAAUAAGACAAAGAUAUGUGACAGAGACCAUGGAGUGGUUUGUUGGAUGGUAAAAACGACCAGCACCGUAAGAGAAAGAGGUUACGAUAAAGGCUGAACCUGGAACUAAUAGACCAACAGCUUAAAGAAGUUAAAAGACUGUGGAGCGGUUAACAACGGCUUAAAGAAAUAAGACAAAGAUAUGUGACAGAGACAUUGGAGUGGUUAAGACUUGUUGGAUGGUAAAAACGACCCACGACUUUAAGAAGGCUUAAAAAAAAGGCUGAGCCUAAAACAAAGAGGUUUCUCAUUCUUAGAUAGAAAUGACGAUCAAUAGCUUCAAAAAAUGAGGUAAGUAUCAAGCAUUUAAUUAAAUGAAGACUAACCAACUUUAAUUUCUGCAGGUUAUGUGCUUCUGAAGGCGUUGAGGAGAUUUCAAGUGCAGCAGACUUCUUGAACAGCAGAACAGGUAUAUACUUCAAACUUGUUUGUAAUUAUGAUACUAUUUUGAUUUGUUCAGCUAUAUGCUUAUCUCUGUUUUGGUGCUUGUAAGUAUCAUAGGUUCUCCCUUUUAGUCGCUUGAGUUAUGUUUACAAGUUAAAACCCUUGGUGAUUAUUCUACUGGUGUGAAUGUCUUUUUAAAUUCUGCAUCGUUUGUGUAUAAUGGUAGUAUUUUCUGUUGUUUGCGAUAAAAAGGUAGAUUUUGUUUUGAAACAUUUUAUUGUGUAUAAAAUUCUUACUAUCUCUGUUUUGGUGCUUUUAUGUAACAUAAGGUUUCUCAUUCUAUGAAAUGUAUGCUGUAGUAGUUGUCUUAUAUCUCAAAUGUAUCUUAGUAAUCUGCAUCAUUAACUGAUGAUUACAGUUUUAAAUUUCUACAGAUUCUACAUGUUGCUUGAGUCUUUACUAUAUAAAAUGAUUGAAAAUAUCUUUCUUAUGGUAGUAGAGUCUAAUCUUAGUCUUAUUGAGUUGCUGGAGCUUGAAAUCUAUUGAAUUACUAGUAUGUGAAAUGGAUCUCUCUUGAUUUUCCUACCAUGUUUUUUCUUUCAAUAACACUAUUCUAUGACUGAUGUCAAAAUCAGAAUUUAGUACACUUUUAUCAUCAUCAUAGUUGGCAUUUGGAAGAACUGCUAUGAUAUUCUCUGCUCUUUAGGUUGACUAAUUGUAUUCUAUGUGUAAUAUUUUGUUUGUUUGGUUUGCUAUAUUAGUUGUUAGACUUGAAAGUUCUUCUAGUACAUAUAUAUAUGCUCAAACUCGAGUUUUUUUUGUUUGUCAUGUUCUAUUACGUUUUUAUGGAACAACAUUACUAUCAAUGUGUAUAUAUCUUGUACUUCAUUUUUUAACUCUAUUUGUAAUCUUUUAAGAAAGGAAUAUUUAAUAUUGUUUGUUUGUUUGAAAUAGACACUUUGAUUUCAGUUUUGGGUUUGUCAAUUACCAUUGUCCUUCUGUAAUUUUUUUCCAUUGUGUUGCAUUUUGGUUUGUUGUCAGAUUGUCUUUAGAUAAUACUUCUUUGACUUUUGCCUUUUGAUUCUCUGAAUAUUUACUGUGGUAAAUUGACUUAACUGUUUUGGGAAAUAUGUAUUCUUGUAUGUUUAUCCUAAAUUAUACCCCAAGUAAGAAUCCAUCAUCAAUGUCGUACGGUUAGUAUGAUGAAUAUUCCAAACAUAUGAAAUGAUAUUUUAUACCUAUUAUCUUUCCUUUGGUGCAUGUAUGUAGCAUAAGAUCUCAUGCUCUAAAUUCUUGGUGAUUGGCUCAAACAUACAAUAUAACAUUCUCGAAUUGUGCAUCAAAGACUGAUGAUUAUUGUCCUAGCAUUCUACCAAGUAUACUCAUUGCUUGAUUUUCUUACAAUUGAUUUUCUUACAAUACAAAUUGUAAAUAUUUGUGUUAUGGCACUAGUGUCUAUUUUUAGUCACUUAAUCUUACAACUUCAUGGUGCUUAGAACUCCAUUGAAUCACUAGUGUAUCCAAUUAGAAAGUGCAAUGAAUCUUAGUUUGAUUUCUCUGUUAGUUACUUUUUUUGUUUAAUAAUACAAUUAUGUAAUUGACAUACAGUUUUAUCAUGUCCACUAUAUGCAUGUGACUGUAGUCUUUGUGUCUACAGUCUACUAAAUGUAUUUAUGCUUUCUUAAUCACUUCCCUGUUUCUUACUAUUCUAGAUCAUUAUAAGAGUUUGUUAGAUUAUUUCUUAACAUGCAUGAGACACAUGUGAUUAAUAAAAUAUUGGUGAACAUAGUUCUUGUACUAACAUCACAAUCGUCAUCUUCUUCUUCUUUUUUUGGGUCUUCGUUACUGUGUAGCGAAAUUAAAAAAAAAAAUGAACAUAGUUCUUACAUUUUGGUUGGUUGUCCAAGUUUCUUUUGUUUAUACUUUCUUUGGAUGAUACCAUCUUGAAUUCUGCUUCAUGGUUUUUGCAUAGUUAAUUGAAGAGUGGUAAAGUCUUUCUUAGGAAUAUUUAUUCUUCUUGUAUGUUUAUCCUAAAUUAUACUCGAUUAAGGGUCAAUAUUUGGUUAUGCAUUGCAUAUAGAGGAUAAGACAUGACUUGAAUCGUUUGUUUAAAGAGUAAUACUUUUCAUGAUCGAACCUAUAACUUGAAUACUAUUAAACUAACUAUUGUAUACCAAAUCAAAUUAGUUUCUCAAAUAUAAACAGAGAUAUAUUCGUAAUAUUUGGAGACUAGGAGUGGUGGGCAAAACAUGAUGAGUUAUAUAUACCAUAAUUAAAAGGAAAAAAAAUCAUAAUACUGUAUAGCAUAAUUUUAUAGAAAUUAUUUUAAAAAGAGUCUAUAAAAUAUUAAUUAAUAAAAUAGUAUAAAAGAUACCAAUCAAGCUAAGAUUUCAUUGCACUAUAAUUAUAAUUUAAAAUUCAACUGUAAUUAUAGAGAAUUAGAGCAUCUCCAAUGGCAAUAUAAUUUAUUUAUUUGAAUUUAAUUUUCUUAUCUAUCUAAAUUUUAAGUGAUGAAUAAAAUUGAAUCAAUUACGUUAAGAUAAGUGGCAUGUGGGGGUUAUUAAAUAUUAACAAAGAACCUCUCCUCACUCUCUUUCCUUUCUAUGAUUAAUUUUUAUUAUUUUAAUGUUAAGAAGCUCCCUGCAAUGCAUUUCGAGAUAUUGUAAAAAGAAAUUAACUGUUAGCAAUUAACAAAUAAAAAUUCACUUCGUAUAAUACUUUAAAAAAUGAUUAAAAAUUAGUUUUGGUAUAACUGAAUGAAAUAUGUGAUUAUACAUAUGAAUGAGCUAAUAGUGACGGACCAACCUCAUCGUACUAGUCUUUUUUAUUUUGUGAUCAUCCAUGCUUUCGUUCAAUUAUAGUGGAUACGAAAAUUCAAUUUUUUGUUUCUUUUCAACUUCCAAAUUCCGAGAAGAAAAAAAACAGAGAAAAAAAAUGAUGAACCAAAUGGUUUAUUUUUACCACUCUUCUGUUCAUAGCUAUCUUCCUCACCUCUCAGUCCACCACCACUGCUUACAAUUUCAAUUUCAAUUAUUUUGGUGGUAACGGCACCAAUCUAUUAUCAUUCCACGGAGACUCUGCGUAUGAUCCGAAUAUCUCAAGAGCCAUCGCAUUGACACGAGACAACAUCCCUUUCUCUCACGGCCGAGCCAUUCUCAUCGUUCCAUUCUUUUGGUGGUAACGGCACCAAUCUAUUAUCAUUCCACGGAGACUCUGCGUAUGAUCCGAAUAUCUCAAUAGCCAUCGCAUUGACACAAGACAACGUCCCUUUCUCUCACGGCCGAGCCAUUCUCAUCGUUCCAAUCUAACGCUACAUCUCUUUACCUUUCAGAACCUCUUUCACUUUCUCCAUUACUCAUAAAACAAACCCUGGUCUAGGCCACGGCCUCGCGUUCAUCGUCGUACCCGCUAUUAACCAACACGAGGUUUAGAUUAUCUCAUUCUCGUGAACCAAACCAGCAAUGGUAAUCCCAAGAACCAUCUCUUUGCUUUCGAGUUUGAUCAUUGAUGUCUUUCAAGACAAGAACCUCGGUGACAUGAACGAUAACCAUGUCGGAAUCGACAUUAAUUCGAUCGAGUCGGUGGUUUCGGUCAAAUCCGGUUAUUGGGUUAUGCCAAGAAACGGUUGGUUGUUUAAGGAUUUGAAGCCGAGUAGUGGAGAUAGGUACAAGGCUUGGAUUGAGUACAAACAACAAUUACAAAGUUAUCUCCGUUAACAUUAGUUUAGCGUAUUUGAAGAAACCGAACCGGCCUUUGAUCGAAGCAAAACUCGAGCUUUCCAAUGUGGUUCACGAGGUAAUGUAUAUCGGUUUCGCCGGUUUGAUGGGCCGUGGUGUCCAGGCGUCCAGAGUCAUGAGAUUUGGGACUGGGUUUUCCAUAACUAAAAUACCGGUUCGGUUUCGUUCGAAAUCAUCGGUUGUGUUUCUGGUUUGUAUUGUCUCAGAUUUGUGAUAAUUGAAGUGAAAAUAAAUGUUUAUUUUAUGGCUUUGCCAACGAACAUUUAUUUUGAAGAUAUGAACAUUUACUUUCAACGAUCAUUCAUUUUGAAGAUAUGAACAUUCAUUUUGUACUUUCAAGAAAAAAUCCAAUAUGGUUUAUAUUA